UACAUGGGGUGCAAACGUUGCUCGGAAUUAUUGGGCGUAAAGCGCACGUAGGCGGUUCGUUAAGUCGGAUGUGAAAGCCCUCGGCUCAACUGAGGAAGUGCACCCGAAACUGGCGAGCUUGAGUACGAAAGAGGAUCGCGGAAUUCCCGGUGUAGAGGUGAAAUUCGUAGAUAUCGAGAGGAACACCGGUGGCGAAGGCGGCCUUCUGGACAGUGACUGACGCUGAGACGCGAAAGCGUGGGGAGCAAACAGG
rnacentral:rRNA from 1 species